GCUCAGAUGGCCUAAUGGUUAGAGCGUCCGUCCCGGAUGCUGUAGGUCGUGGGUUCGAUCCCCGGCUGAGACA